UACGUAGGUGGCAAGCGUUGUCCGGAUUUACUGGGCGUAAAGAGCGUGUAGGCGGCCAGACAGGUCCGUUGUGAAAACUCGAGGCUCAACCUCGAGAUGUCGAUGGAAACCGUCUGGCUAGAGUCCGGAAGAGGAGUGUGGAAUUCCUGGUGUAGCGGUGAAAUGCGCAGAUAUCAGGAAGAACACCUAUGGCGAAGGCAGCACUCUGGGACGGUACUGACGCUGAGACGCAAAAGCGUGGGGAGCGAACAGG
rnacentral:rRNA from 1 species